rnacentral:tRNA from 1 species
GUUAUUGAACUUGUUAAAAGUAUAUAUUUUGAAAAUAUAAAAAAGAAGUAAGAAUCUUCUAAUAACUU